rnacentral:rRNA from 1 species
AGUCGAACGGCAGCACGGACUUGCUCUGGUGGCGAGUGGCGAACGGGUGAGUAAUAUAUCGGAACGUACCCUGGAGUGGGGGAUAACGUAGCGAAAGUUACGCUAAUACCGCAUACGAUCUAAGGAUGAAAGUGGGGGAUCGCAAGACCUCAUGCUCGUGGAGCGGCCGAUAUCUGAUUAGCUAGUUGGUAGGGUAACAAGCCUACCAAGGCAUCGAUCAGUAGCUGGUCUGAGAGGACGACCAGCCACACUGGAACUGAGACACGGUCCAGACUCCUACGGGGAGGCAGCAGUGGGGAAUUUUGGACAAUGGGCGAAAGCCAGAUCCAGCAAUGCCGCGUGAGUGAAGAAGGCCUUCGGGUUGUAAAGCUCUUUUGUCAGGGAAGAAACGGUGAGAGCUAAUAUCUUUUGCUAAUGACGGUACCUGAAGAAUAAGCACCGGCUAACUACGUGCCAGCAGCCGCGGUAAUACGUAGGGUGCAAGCGUUAAUCGGAAUUACUGGGCGUAAAGCGUGCGCAGGCGGUUUUGUAAGUCUGAUGUGAAAUCCCCGGGCUCAACCUGGGAAUUGCAUUGGAGACUGCAAGGCUAGAAUCUGGCAGAGGGGGGUAGAAUUCCACGUGUAGCAGUGAAAUGCGUAGAUAUGUGGAGGAACCCCGAUGGCGAAGGCAGCCCCCUGGGUCAAGAUUGACGCUCAUGCACGAAAGCGUGGGGAGCAAACAGGAUUAGAUACCCUGGUAGUCCACGCCCUAAGAUCGCAAUCCGUCUUACUAGUUGUACGGGUGUUACUUAGACCCUUGGGAACUGCCAGCUAACGCGACCCUGCGGGGGGCUGGGGAGUACGGUCGCAAGAUUAAA